rnacentral:rRNA from 1 species
AUGGAGAAGAAGAGGGUGGCCAUCAUCGGAGCCGGCGUGAGUGGCCUCACCGCCUGCAAGCACGCGUUGGAGCACGGCUUCCGGCCUGUCCUGUUCGAGGCCGAAGCGGACGCCAUCGGCGGCGUGUGGGCGCACACGCUCGCCUCAACGCGCCUUCAAACACCACGGCCAUACUACCAGUUCACGGACUUCCCAUGGCCGCCGGGAGUGUCGGAUUUGUACCCGGGUCAUAAACAGGUCACCGAGUACCUGCGCUCGUACGCGCGCCACUCCGGCGUGCUAGAGUGCAUCAGGUUCGGCAGCCGGGUCGCCGCCCUGGAGUACACCGGCGCCGCCAACGAGGAGGAGAUGAUGGCGUGGGAUCAGUGGGCCGGCAACGGCGAGGCCUUCGGCAGCGGUCGCGGCGAGUGGCGGCUCACGGUGCAGCGCGGGGACGACGUUGAGAUCCACGAGGCCGACUUUGUGGUUCUAUGUGUCGGACGGUUCAGUGGCAUGCCCAGCGUUUCCACUUUCCCGCCGGGGAAAGGGCCAGAGGCCUUCGAUGGCACCGUGAUCCACUCCAUGGAUUACUCCAACAUGGACAAUGCAAAGGCCAUCGAACUCAUCAAAGGCAAGCUCGUCACCGUCAUCGGUUACCAAAAGUCUGCUCUCGACAUCGCCACAGAUUGCGCAAAUGUGAAUGGCCCGGCGUAUCCAUGCACAGUGAUAUGUCGUACGAAGCAAUGGAUCAUCCGUGGCUACAACGCAUGGGAUGUCCCGAUUGGUUUCUUCUAUCUCAAUCGCUUUUCUCAACUUCUAAAACACAAGCCAGGGGAGGGGCUGCUCUUUGGCCUUCUGGCCACGUUAUUAUCACCCUUGAUGUUCUUAACUGUAUGUAAUAUUUGA